UGUCGUUACUAUGUAGCAGCUUUGAAAGCCAGUCGAUGAUUUUUUUUUUAAACACUGAUCAGCUGAUGACACAAUGGGAGAAGACGGUUCCUCAGUGAAGUGCGCGCACCCGCUGCCAUACAAGAUUUAAGAUUAGUUUCGUUUUAAACAUUUGCUUUGUUUGCCUAAAACGAACCAUAUCACAGUCUUCAAAAACUCGCCGUCCAACCUGCGGAAGUAUAUUGAAUGAACAUGCAUAAAAUGACAUCAGAGGCCCCCUGCAGACCCUCAUGACUGUAACAAGCUGCUCUGACUCGAGCAGAAGGACCAUUCCCUGGAGGACCACACCAGAGAUUGUUUUGGAUUUGACAUGCCUAACUUACUAUCUGGAUCGCUCACUCUGCGUUUUUUACAUCACCAGCCUCAGCAAGCAGUCCAAGGCAUGCCUACCAUGUAAUGGUCCUCGAGAGGAUUUCAACGUUUUUGUGGAGAGGGUUCUGGUAAAUAAUGGAUCGGCUUUCACCAUCUGCCCAGUGGAGGACAUCACCAGCCCCACUCCGGACUCAGAGCCCAGCCAGCCAUCACCCCGUUGCACGGAUAUGAUGCUAGGGCCAACUGCAGAUGGAGAGCUAGAGUCUGCUGCGAUGCAUGAGUGAGCGACAGUAAAAAAGGACUGAGCCAACCAUUGCCCUGGAGCCUGAGCCCCACAGUGACUCUGACCAGGUGCAUGAGCCAGUAACAUCAACUGCCGCCAUGGGAGCACUAGUGGAGUUUGAGGGAAUGGAGAAAGACCCCGCACACACUUCCACAACUGAGGGUGAGCUGCUGCUGACCUAUGCAGGUUAUUUUGAUUUGGAAAAGGAUAUUUAUAUUAAUCUCCCAUCCCUUCUGGUUCCAUCCAGCCCAAAGUCUCCUGUGUCCCCACUGGUUCCACCCAGCUUGAAGUUGUAAUGUUACAUGUAUAUUCAGUCUUGGUUUUGUUUUCUUGGUUUGGGUUCUGUUCUUGUUUGCCUGUGUUCCAUUUGCUAGUUUGUCUCCAUGGUUUUUGAUUGAGUUUGCAUGUGUUCCUGGUUAUGUUAAUUAUCCCUGUAUGUAUUUAAAGUUUCUUUGCCCAGAGGCAUCAUCAUCACAGUCUGUAAAAAGGGUCAAUUGAGUCCCAGCUUCUACAAAGCCCCUCCAUCUGAAAAGCCCAGAGUUCUGUGAUUGCCCAGCUGACCCAGUGCGUUGUGAUUGGCCAAACACCUCAAGCUUGUGUCAGAAAUGUAACAGCCCUUACCAUAAUCACGAGCUUCAGCUUCAGCUUCCAAGGAUUCUAAAGCAACUAUAAACACACAGUUAAUAAUGUUGUUGGUUUUACCAUAUCAGUUUGGGCCUGAGUAAGAUUUUGAAAAUGCUGAUGACCAAGCAGAUGGUUCUGAACCAACUUUGCAAGCACAACUUGAGCUGAACGUUUCAGAGUGGUAAACUUUUAUUUUGGUAACUCUCUUAUACAGUGGGCCAGUAGUGCACAACACAACGAAAUUAAAAAA